UUGGGGUCAAGCUACUAAGAGUGUACGGUGGAUGCCUUGGCAUCAGCAGGCGAUGAAGGGCGUGGUAAGCUGCGAUAAGCCUCG
rnacentral:rRNA from 1 species